rnacentral:rRNA from 1 species
CUGAUGGCGAGUGGCGAACGGGUGAGUAACAUAUCGGAACGUGCCUAGUAAUGGGGAACAACUAGUCGAAAGAUUAGCUAAUGCCGCAUACGACCUACGGGUGAAAGCAGGGGAUCUUCGGACCUUGCGUUAUUAGAGCGGCCGAUAUCUGAUUAGCUUGUUGGUAGGGUAAUGGCCUACCAAGGCAACGAUCAGUAGCUGGUCUGAGAGGACGAUCAGCCACACUGGAACUGAGACACGGUCCAGACUCCUACGGGAGGCAGCAGUGGGGAAUUUUGGACAAUGGGGGCAACCCUGAUCCAGCCAUUCCGCGUGAGUGAAGAAGGCCUUCGGGUUGUAAAGCUCUUUCGCAAGAGAAGAAAACUUAUUAUUUAAUAAAUGAUAAGUAUGACGGUAUCUUGACAAGAAGCACCGGCUAACUACGUGCCAGCAGCCGCGGUAAUACGUAGGGUGCAAGCGUUAAUCGGAAUUACUGGGCGUAAAGCGUGCGCAGGCGGUCUUAUAAGUCAGAUGUGAAAUCCCCGAGCUCAACUUGGGAACUGCGUUUGAAACUGUAGGACUAGAGUGUGUCAGAGGGGGGUAGAAUUCCAUGUGUAGCAGUGAAAUGCGUAGAUAUGUGGAGGAAUACCAAUGGCGAAGGCAACCCCCUGGGAUAACACUGACGCUCAUGCACGAAAGCGUGGGGAGCAAACAGGAUUAGAUACCCUGGUAGUCCACGCCCUAAACGAUGUCUACUAGUUGUUGGUGGAGUAAAAUCCAUGAGUAACGCAGCUAACGCGUGAAGUAGACCGCCUGGGGAGUACAGUCGCAAGAUUAAAACUCAAAUGAAUUGACGGGGGCCCGCACAAGCGGUGGAUUAUGUGGAUUAAUUCGAUGCAACGCGAAAACCUUACCUGGCCUUGACAU